rnacentral:rRNA from 1 species
GAUGAACGCUGGCGGCGUGCCUAAUACAUGCAAGUCGAGCGAACGGACGAGAAGCUUGCUUCUCUGAUGUUAGCGGCGGACGGGUGAGUAACACGUGGAUAACCUACCUAUAAGACUGGGAUAACUUCGGGAAACCGGAGCUAAUACCGGAUGAUAUUUUGGACCGCAUGGUUCAAAAGUGAAGGACGGUCUUGCUGUCACUUAUAGAUGGAUCCGCGCUGCAUUAGCUAGUUGGUAAGGUAACGGCUUACCAAGGCAACGAUGCAUAGCCGACCUGAGAGGGUGAUCGGCCACACUGGAACUGAGACACGGUCCAGACUCCUACGGGAGGCAGCAGUAGGGAAUCUUCCGCAAUGGGCGAAAGCCUGACGGAGCAACGCCGCGUGAGUGAUGAAGGUCUUCGGAUCGUAAAACUCUGUUAUUAGGGAAGAACAUAUGUGUAAGUAACUGUGCACAUCUUGACGGUACCUAAUCAGAAAGCCACGGCUAACUACGUG